rnacentral:rRNA from 1 species
AGCGAACGCUGGCGGCAGGCCUAACACAUGCAAGUCGAACGAACCUUUCGGGGUUAGUGGCGGACGGGUGAGUAACACGUGGGAACGUGCCUUUAGGUUCGGAAUAACUCAGGGAAACUUGUCCUAAUACCGCAUGUGCCCUUCGGGGGAAAGAUUUAUUGCCUUUAGAUCGGCCCGCGUCUGAUUAGCUAGUUGGUUGAGGUAAUGGCUCACCAAGGCGACGAUCAGUAGCUGGUCUGAGCGGAUGAUCAGCCACAUUGGGACUGAGACACGGCCCAAAAUCCUACGGGAGGCAGCAGUGGGGAAUCUUGCGCAAUGGGCGAAAGCCUGACGCAGCCAUGCCGCGUGAAUGAUGAAGGUCGUAGGAUUGUAAAAUUCUUUCACCGGGGACGAUAAUGACGGUACCCGGAGAAGAAGCCCCGGCUAACUACGUG